GCUGUUGUAGCUCAGGAGGUAGAGCACUUCCUUGGUAAGGAAGAGGUCGGCGGUUCAAGUCCGCUCAACAGCUCCA
rnacentral:tRNA from 1 species